GACGAACGCUGGCGGCGUGCUUAACACAUGCAAGUCGAACGGAAAGGCCCCCUUGUGGGGUACUCGCGUGGCGAACGGGUGAGUAACACGGGAGUAAACUACCCUUGACUUUGGGAUAACUUCAGGAAACUGGGGCUCAUACCGGAUAGGGGCUCCUGCUGCAUGGUGGGGGUUGGAGAGUUUCGGCGGUUGGGGAUGGACUCGCGGCUUAUCAGCUUGUUGGUGGGGUAGUGGCUCACCAAGGCUUUGACGGGUAGCCGGCCUGAGAGGGUGACCGGCCACAUUGGGACUGGGAUACGGCCCAGACUCCUACGGGAGGCAGCAGUGGGGAAUAUUGCACAAUGGGCGGAAGCCUGAUGCAGCAACGCCGCGUGCGGGAUGACGGCCUUCGGGUUGUAAACCGCUUUCGCCUGUGACGAAGCGUGAGUGACGGUAAUGGGUAAAGAAGCACCGGCUAACUACGG
rnacentral:rRNA from 1 species